UUGCUGGUGGUUUAGGGGUUAAGCGCACGACCACAUACAGAGGCUAUAGUCCUCGAGGCAGCCGUCGCGGGUUCGAGUCCCGGGCCUGGCGAC